rnacentral:lncRNA from 1 species
UCCACUCGAAUUUGCCAUUUUGGCACAUUUUAAGGUCCUUUUUUUUGCUUCCCAAAGUCCAUAUACAUAAAUGGAAUCAUACGAAUGCACUUGAGAUUCUUAAAGGAUUCUCUAAGUCUUUAUGUAAAUUGCAUUCCGUGUGUAUUUGGCACAUCGAUAACAUUAUUAGCAGCAAAUGCCCCCAAAGAUGUCCUGUCCCACUGGUCUUGGCAGUGACUGCUGACCAAUUUUGUCAGCUUUGCCAAUUUGGGGCUACCCUCGUCUUUGGCUUUGGUCCCUCUGCUUUUCUUUUUAGGUAUUUUGUCCAGACGGACAGGGACUGGCACUGGAACUGAAUGGGCUGCCGGGAUUUGGAGUGCGUCCGCUGUCAACAGCAUUUGUUGAACACUUUUUCGGACUCGCUCCCGUCUCCCCACAGUCUUGUCAGUCCUCUCUUUGGGACUUGUGAAGCAUCGGGCUUUGUUAUGCCACGACAAUCGUUGACAGCGGCAAGUUUUUCUUUCGGUCCGCAGUUGGGCGCAGCUGCUUCAAAAUAUAAUAAAUACUCGUAAACAAACAUAAUUUAUAAGUAGCAGAUUUUUUACGUCUGUGUUGGCACAAAUACUCAAGCACACCCGAUCCUUGUCAUGUAAGUUUGUUUUUGUCUUUUCCACAGAGUACUCGUGGACCACAGUGCAGUCCAAUUAGACGGAC